UACGAAGGGGGCUAGCGUUGCUCGGAAUGACUGGGCGUAAAGCGCACGUAGGCGGCCAACUAAGUCGGACGUGAAAUCCCUCAGCUUAACUGGGGAACUGCGUCCGAUACUGGAUGGCUUGAGUUCGGGAGAGGGAUGCGGAAUUCCAGGUGUAGCGGUGAAAUGCGUAGAUAUCUGGAGGAACACCGGUGGCGAAGGCGGCAUCCUGGACCGAUACUGACGCUGAGGAGCGAAAGCCAGGGGAGCAAACGGG
rnacentral:rRNA from 1 species